rnacentral:rRNA from 1 species
AACGAACGCUGGCGGCAUGCCUAACACAUGCAAGUCGAACGAGACCUUCGGGUCUAGUGGCGCACGGGUGCGUAACGCGUGGGAACCUGCCCUUAGGUUCGGAAUAACUCCCCGAAAGGGGUGCUAAUACCGGGUAAUGUCUUCGGACCAAAGAUUUAUCGCCUUUGGAUGGGCCCGCGUUGGAUUAGCUUGUUGGUAGGGUAAAAGCCUACCAAGGCGACGAUCCAUAGCUGGUCUGAGAGGAUGAUCAGCCACACUGGGACUGAGACACGGCCGAGACUCCUACGGGAGGCAGCAGUGGGGAAUAUUGGACAAUGGGCGAAAGCAUGAUGCAGCAAUGCCGCGUGAGUGAUGAAGGCCUUAGGGUUGUAAAGCUCUUUUACCCGGGAUGAUAAUGACAGUACCGAGAGAAUAAGCUCCGGCUAACUCCGUG